UGCAGUUUACGAAUUCGCCCUUGCCCGGAGAAGUCGUAACAAGGUUUCCAUAGGUGAACUUGCGAAAGGAUCAUUG
rnacentral:rRNA from 1 species